rnacentral:sRNA from 1 species
GUCACCACGGACCUGCAUCACGGGUGCACAGACCAGCACACGGGCACCUCGGCCUCAGCCCCACUGGCGGCCGGCAUGAUCGCCCUAGCGCUGGAGGCCAACCCGUUCCUGACGUGGAGAGACAUGCAGCACCUGGUGGUCCGCGCGUCCAAGCCGGCGCACCUGCAGGCCGAGGACUGGAGGACCAACGGCGUGGGGCGCCAAGGUGCGGCGGGGCCGGGCGGGGGCGGGGACCCGGGGCCCACGGGGCGAGUGACUGCUGCCCUUCCGCGCAGUGAGCCAUCACUACGGCUACGGGCUGCUGGACGCCGGGCUGCUGGUGGACACCGCCCGCACCUGGCUGCCCACCCAACCGCAGAGGAAGUGUGCCGUCCGGGUCCAGAACCACCCCACGUGAGACCCCUGCGUGCCCCUCCGCUAUCACCGCUGGGGGUGUGGGGGACAGGCCUGAGGCCUCAGUUUACCCAUCUGUAAAACGAGGGCUGGACCCCGUGACCUCUGAGCCCCGACCUCGCCUGCUGGCCGCCCACCCACCCCCCAGCAGG